CCACAGCCGUGCAGCCCCGCCCAUUUGUGUCGGCGAUGCACUAAAGCGACUCUCAUUCGGCGGAUCUCCCCAUCUACGUGCCCGCCGGGCCUCCCGCCUCCUGGCCCUGACGUCGAGGUCCGGAGCGCCCGUUUUUGCUGAGUGCAUAAGAUGAAAGCAGCACGCUGCCAUUGUGCAUUAGAGAUGAGAAUGGUUCUGCUUGCUACAACUACUUGUAUUAACGCUGCACUUCAGGUAAGGAACUUUACUAAAAAUAAAACAAUCAGCACCCUGUUUAAUUUCUUACUGUUGCGCCUUCCCAAAAAGAAACACUGUAAACCGGGGUUGUCCGAAGUGAGGCCGAGGGGCUAUUUUUGGCCCACACCUUGUUCUUUCUAAUGAGCUAUAUUACCGUAAUUUCAGGUGUAUGAGUCGCUACUUUUUUCUUAAACUUUAAACCCUGUGCCUUAUACAGCAGUGCGGCUAAUUUAUUGCUGCCUUCUAAUCUCAUGACAUCUCCUUUACUUCAGAACUGCUACUAAUCGUUUAAAUACUGAGCUGCUCGCUAGUCAGUGAGGAAACCAAUCACGAGCUAUCAGUGAACUCACGACGAGCUUGUCAACCCUUUGGAAAUCGCAGGAGGUCAUUACUCAAUAUAACAGUCUGACUCAACGUGUCAUCUUACAAAGAACGCAAAACUCAUCACACAGCAACUUAACACUCAAAACAUAGCUGGGAAAUAUACAAGUGCCGAUACGAGUUAAAAAAAAUAAAACAAUUCUAACGUUUUCCCAUAAAGCAUUGCGUCCAAGCAAAUAAUUCAUUGGUGCCUGCCGAGGUGCUGCAAUGAUGUCAGCCUCCCCCUGGCUUCCUCUGGUGGACAGAGACAGCAUCGCAAUGCCAUCCAUCCAUGCAUGCAUUUUCUAUGCCGCUUGUCCUCCAAUGAAAUGCUUUGCUCAGAUGAAAUGCAUGAUGGAAAAAUUUUAAAAUUGUUGGGUUUUUGUUUUUAUUUUAAACUUGUAUUGGUACUUGUAUUGUACAUUUCCCAGCUACCUUUUGAGUGCAUGCAUGCAUCACAAACAUCUGAAUAUUACAACAAAUGUGGAUUAGUAACAUUGGAAUUAGAUUCGUGCAAGUGUACUGUAUGUUCAGCAGUGUGUGUGUGUGUGUGUGUCCGUGUAAGGGAUGUACAUGUCACCACAAGCUGACUUCAUGGCCUCAUAAUUGAAACUAAUGACAAAAGCACAUGGGAGUCAAGACCUGUGGGUUUAAGGUUACAAUAGCUUAUUGUGUUUCUGCCUGUGUGUGUGUGUAAGAUGCAUGGGUGUGUUUAGUGCACGUGUGUUCUCAUGUGUGAGUCUUGAGAACUCACAGGAGUUAUUUAACAUCUCUGAAGUUGAGACGGCCACAAAGAUCCAUAAAAGAGUUCACGUUACACGCAUGAAUUCGCACACACUAAAGCUUCCUAAGUCCCUCUUUUCGCUUUAAAAUAAUUCACACACUCUUUGCACUUGUUUCCCACGGUAAUAAUAAUCAUGUCCUGUGAAGCAUAUGCUGGAAAAGCAAAUAUCUGUACAAUUUCCAAAUUAAAUCAAACUCUGUUGCAUAGAGCAGAGAGCUUUUCCCAUUGGAAUUUAAUGUAAAUAGAAAUAAUCUGUUCCAACAUCAAACUGCUGCCAUCGUAAAACCUUUUUCUUCAUUAUUAUGCAAGCAUAAAUGGAAAUUAGCCAUCUUAAAAACAAAAAACACAAGUGACGAUGUAUAUGGUGAUACUACAGUCUCACCAGAAGAUUUGUGGGACUAUAGUGGUUUAUUUUUUCCAAAAUAAAUCCUUUCACAACCUCAGUGAGUGAGUUCAGUGACAAUUUAGCAUUAGGGGCAGUGCCCCGAUGCACAAGAUGUCACUCUUUGUAAUAUGUAUUUCUGUAUAUGUUAUAGAGUUGAAAUUACAGUAAAUUGUGGCAUUAAUGUGUAUGUAAAUAAUCUUCAUUUGUCUGAUAAUCCUCAUGUAGCGGUUUCUUGUAUUGUCUGUUCCCUGCGAACUCUCUCUGCUUUGGGCAGCAGUAAUUACAAAAUCUGCCUAGCAACAGUGUGAAACAUGUUACUGCUGGUUCUUUAAUCUUUAUGUUAAGAAGGUUUGUAGGUGAUUUACUACAGAGGAGAGUAUCUUCACCCCAGUCUAACCUGGCCAUCUCCUUCUAUUUUGUCAGGACAGAAAGUGACCGCUAACUGCAAACAGCACGUCACCUGUGUAAACAGAAAAAAGCAGAUAUGUGCUGCUGCUGCUGCUGCUCCUUCUGACUCUGUUUGUCCCAUGAGACAAGUGGAAAAGCAGGAAGGUUCCUAUCAACAGAGUCUCCCGGCCAAGAAGAACCUGGACCUCCGUGUGACUCCCCCCCGCCCCAAGGUAUUACUCCACUGCUAUGAUAAUUGCAGUCAUUGGGCGGUCCACACGUCAAUCAUAUGGCAUAUCCAGGUAUGUGGGUUUAGAAUUUCAUUCAUUAAUUUGACAUGCUAACACAAAUUAAUUUGCUAUGCUAACACAGGGCUCGGGUACCAUUUUGAUACUUUUUAUUUUGUAAAAAGACAUUUUAUAUGUAUUUAAAGACAAAACAUUGUGGUAUAUUUGUGUUAGAGGUGAGAAAGCGUAUUAUUACUAACGCCUAUUAUUACACCUUUGUGUAACAAACAAUGUAACAACAAAACAAUGUAACUCUAGUUAAUUCCUUCCAAGCACCCAAAAAUGUUAACGCAAACAUUUUUUUUUCCAGAAAACAAUGCAAAAUGCAUAUACAGUGAAACCUUGGUUAGCGUCAUUAAACCGUUCCAGAAGGUCUGACUAACCGAAGCGUACUCUAAGUCAAUUUUUCCCAUAAGAAAUAAUGUCAAUCCAAUUAAUCCGUUCUACAAAAUAACCCAAAAUGGAGCCAAAUAAAGUUGCAAGUGCCAGCAUUUUCAUAAAGAAGGUGAGAAACACCACUGAAUUCAACAAAUAACUCGCAGAAAAACACGAAGGUGGUGUCUGUGUUGAUCUUACUGCCACUUUGUGUCUUUGUUGCACAUCUUCAGUGAAGGUAAAAUUAACCCUAAAUGUAUUUGUCAUAAAUCCCUUUCAUUUGUCAUUUAUACGUCUUUUAUUCAUUUAGAAUUGUUUUAUUCAUGUAUAAAACGUAUUGUGUGAACAUUUUUGAGACUUGUGGCCUAACUGUGUUAGUUAGCAAAGAACUACAGAGUCAUAGACAUACAUUUCCAUGUAUUAGUAUGCCAACAAGGGUUCUAUACUAUGCUACAUGCAGGCAUCUUUGAAAAUGAGCAAAUUAGCUCCAACUAACAAAAUGUGUUAAUGUCUCCCUCAUUCUUUGUGUCUAACAAGAUGGUGUCAAUUGCCUGAUAAGUCUUUUUAUUGCCAAUUAGAGUAAAUGGAGUGGGAGGGAGACAAAAUGUCUGUUGCUAACUAGUGGCAGAGGUGUCCCAUUUGGCAGAAUUAGUUCGGUUGAAUGCCAGGUGAAAUGCAACUAUGCAUUGCAGCUGAUAAAUGCAAACAAAUAACAAUAGCGUGGCUAUUAAGCACUAUAGUUACAUAAAGGACCCUUAUCAAUAAGCCUGACUACUAUUCCUUCCUAGAGUGAGAGCUAAUGUGUCUGUAAUGUGUGAUGAACAACGUCUUACAUCACAAAAAUGCUAUAUUUUAAAUAGGAGCUAUAGACCUACAGAGGUAUGUUGGUACAUCAGGCUGCAGAUGACAAAUGGGGACUUUUAAACAAGUAGGGGAAGAAGGCAGCAAGAUGGAGAAAGAUACUGACAUUAUGAUUUUUUUUUUUUACCACUACUUCUUCCACAUUCCUCUCACAUUUAUUUUUUUAAAUGUAUUAUUUUUUUAGGUCGGGGUGGCCCGCAGCUCGUUUUUUAUAUCGGGCCGUGGCAUAUUCUAUGGAUAAAAUUCAACGCGGCUCGCAUUAGAACGGUACACAAAAAGAAAGCGGAAAUCCCAAAAUAUGGCACCUGCAAACCAAAAUGGCCAACUGGAUGUGCGUCUUACAGUGUAGGCUUGCUGAUGAUUUUCAUGCAUCCUGUCAUAAAGAACGUGCACCAGAUUUCCAAUCGAACACUGGUGGUGGCUAUUUCUCCCUCUCCGGUGGGGGCACUACUGAAUAGGUUUUGGGGGUUGUGUCUGGGACACCUUAAAUAUGUGAAUAAUUGCAAGGAUACACAUGCUCGCAAGAUUUUUUUUUUUGUCUCAAGUUUGAGUAUGUUAAAGGCGAUUUUAGUUCUAACAAUUGGAUUGACUUCUUUCAAGAAACAUGGCUGCCAUUGAACACAUUUACACAUCCAUUUAUUGACUGUCAGUCAUGCGUAAAAUGUAUUUUGGUGUGUCUGUCCACUCAUUUUGAAGCUGAAGGCCUCUAGCACCACAGAUGCAAUGCUAACUGUCAGCACUGACCAACAGGUACGUAAUGGUUGCUUUUUGUCUCUACAUGAUCCGUACCGCAAACACGAUCGAUUCUGCACAUGUGCAGAACGCGUCUACAUCUGGUCGGUCUAUUUUUUGGCAGUCAAGCGUCA